rnacentral:rRNA from 1 species
AUGGCAGACAGCGGGCAGUUCGUGGUCACCAUUGGUCUGACGAACAUCAACACCACGAGGCAAGAUCCCAUCAAUGUCGCAUCCAGCAGAAAUUUGUUACCCUCUAGCCAUGUAUUCAGCUCCAGCAAUGUCGCAUCCAGCGGAAAUUUAUUACCCCCUGGCCAUGAAUCCAGCUCCAGGAUCAAUGAUGCUUUUGAGCUCUUGUGGGGACAUCGUAAAUAUUUGGUACUGCUUGGAGUCCUAGCAGUUGGUGUGACAUACAAUGCUGGAUUAACACCACCAGGGGGAUCGUGGACACUAAACAAGGAUGGCCAUGAUGCUGGUGACCCUGUCAUGCAUGAUGGCUUUUCUGAACGGUAUGAGGUGUUCUUUUACUGCAAUGCAGCAGCCUUUGCUGCAUCUCUUGUCUUAAUCAUCUUGCUUCUCAGCAAGAGUGUGACAAAUCAGAGGAUGUGGCUCCAUUCAAUGCAAUUGACCAUGACACUGGACCUGUUCAGCCUGCUGGGGGCUUAUGCUGCUGGAAGUUGCAGGACACUCAAGUCAUCCAUUUACAUCUUGGUUCUAGUCCUUGCUGUUAUCAUAUAUGUUGGGAUCCAUACUCUAGUAUCCACAAGGUUUAUUCCAAGAGAAAUUAAACAGAAUCUGCAGACAAUGAUAAAUAGUGUUCUAAACCAACGGCGUUCCCUUGGCAGGCAAGAGAGUAUCCCUCUAGAGAAAGCCGUUCAGGAGGUUCGCAAGUUCAUUUUGACGCUUGUAAUUUUUGCUGCUACUAUCACAUACCAAGCAGGAUUGAAUCCACCGGGCGGCUUUUGGGCUGAAAAUGACCAUGGUUCUAAUAAGGUGCAUAUGGCCUUUCCUCCUUACAAGCAUCAUCCGGGUACUUCUGUUCUCCGGAGUAACUACCUUGGUCGUUAUAAUAUAUUCAUCAUCUCCAAUUCAACUUCCUUUGUGGCAUCUUUGGUCAUAAUCAUACUGCUUCUGAGCCCAAAACUGAGUGGACAUGGAAUAAGGACCAAAGCAGUGAUUGUAUGUGUGGUAGUGGACCUACUGGGCCUAAUUGUUGCGUAUGCUGCAGGAUGUUGUAGAGAGGUAGCAACAUCAUUCUUUGUGGUGUCUAUUUUCUUCAUAGUUUGGAUUUCCUUCGCAGUUUUAGCUGGAUUAUUUGUUCAGGGACCUGUAGCAAAUUGGCUACAAGAGGUCAAAUCAAGCAGCCUGUGUUGUGUGAAAAAAAUGGGCCGUGCACUUUCAUUGAGCUUUCGUGGCCACAGAUCGAUCAAUGCAGAGCAGGGGAAUUCUGUGGCAAGGAAUCAUCAAUCCCCAGCCCGUUCAACUGAUGCACCUGCAGAAGAUAAUACCCCUGAGCAACAAGAGCAGCCUGCAGACAAUCAGCAACAAUCAAAUAUCAGACAGGGUGAAUUCCAUGAGUUGCAUGUACCUGCAGAAAAAAGUCAAAUUUCAGAUGUUCAAGAGGCUGUGUCUAACACACAGCAUCCGUCAGGGAACAGCCAGCAAUCAGCAAAUAUUCAGGAUGUUGUGUCCAACCCGGAGUGCCAGUCUCCAGAUGUCCAGCGUGUUGCAAACAUGGAGGAGGAUGUGUCCAGCUCACAGCAUCCUGCAGGGAACUGUCAACGACCAGAACAUGCCAAGGAUGUUGUGUCUAACAUGGAGUACCCAUUACUAAGCCACCAGCAAACUGAAAAUAGCAUGUGUGGUAUGUCAGCUAACCAGAAAGUUGCAAGUAUGGGGAAGCAAUCUUCAUCUGAUGAUCCCGACAUGACUGCUCUUCCAGUUGAGCAAAAUAUGCCUGUCAGGCAGAGUGAUGGAGACACUAGUAGUGACAUAGUGGAUGAAGGGCUCUCUGCACCUGUGGAAGCCAAUGGCAAUGUGGACUCUGCUGAACAAAACAAUCUGGUUGAAGAUAAUAACCCAGAGAUUUGUGGCAGUCAUGACCAUCCUACACAUUCUGAGAAUGCCCAUAUUGACAGCAAUCAAGGAGUACCCAAUCAAAAUGCUGACGACAUGCAAACUGAGAAGCACCUGAAGAAGACCCGCACUUGUAUGUUGCUUCUUGCCAUUCUUGCAGUAUCUCUGGCAUACCAAUCAGGCCUGAAUCCACCAGGUGGCUUUUGGUCAAGAAGUAAAGAUCAUCAUUCAGCUGCUGAUCGCAUCCUUGAGGACACCCACCAUCGCCGGUUCAUUGCAUUCUUCUAUCUCAACGCAAUCGCCUUUGUGGCAUCCAUUGUCAUGAUUACUUUGCUCUUGAACAAGAUGGCAAGCGACAAGGUUACCAAACGGCGUGCAUUGCCAAUAACGAUGAUAGUGGUCCUACUUUCCCUAACUGGAGCUUUUGCUCUGGGGAACUGCAGGGAGGCAAAGAAGACUAUUUUCAUAUCAGUGCUCGUAUGCACUGUGCUUGCUUAUGUUCUCAUUCAUGUCUUGAUAGCAGUACAUAUAAUUCCUCCAGAAUGGAGAAGUCAGGUAGCAGAGAUGCUAGAGCAGUCAGUUAGUCUUUUUUGCUCGGUGCCACGUCAAUCAGGCGACAACCAGACUGGGAGUGGUACUAGUUAG